UACUCACAACUCCAAAAUCCGUUCCUUCUUUGCCCUCAGGUAACCUAACAGACGUCCCUCACAAUCAUACGUAAGAGUGAAUGUGUUCGUCUCUUCACCUUCAUCAUCCUUGCUGUUUUCCCUCCUCUCCCUUUAUCGCCAUCAGUUGUGAAUGUCAAGCACACAAAACGCCCAAUUUCAUUCAAUACGCCAUGAAUCUAAUCGAUUGAAACUCCCAUGAUUGCUAUAUCAAUAAAGGAAGUUCACCACCAAAUGCUAGAAAUCAUUCGUUCAGGGUUACAGUCAUGCCCUCAAAGACACUCUUAAUAGGUCCAUGGCCAUCUCUUCUACCCGAUGUAUUGCUCCCCACAAAUUUCUGGGGUUUUCCAUUUAUUCUACAAUCAUUUUGAAGCGAAGCAGAUUCACCACUUCAAUCCUGUGGACUCUCAGGUCCAAUUUUCUACUCAUAAUUUCGUAACUGGUACCAAAUCGUUUUGUUAGGGUUUUUUUUUUUUAGCAUUUUGACAAUUUUAUGAUUUAUUUACAUGCUGUGCUGUGUUUACAUAUAUAUAUAUAUAUUUAUAUUGAUUAGUUGUAAUAACCUGUAUGAAUUGUACCCUCUUGUUUUGAUUGAUCGAAAUGAUUUGUUUCUAUGGUGUAACACCUGCAGUGCAGCAUUGAUAUGAGUUUAUUCAUUACUGAUACAAGAAGUGUCAGUAAAAGAAUGGAUGGCACAAAUUUUAGGUAAUAUGGUGUGUUCUAUAGUAUUAUUCUAGGUUAUGGGUGUAUUUAGGUGAACGGAAUAAAGAUCAUACAUGGUAUGUGUGUACAUGGAGUGACAAACCCCACCCAAAUUCAUUUGUAAGCUCACUACUCUUUUGAUUUCAUACAACUGUAAUAGUUAAUGGAAAGGUAUAGUGAAAUUAGCUACAACUGCGUCGAAUGGUAUCAAGCUUUUGAUCUGCGGUUGGUAUAGGCUUACGCUUGUCACGUGUGGCUAAAAAAAGAUAGUGUUGUAUGCUAUUACUUACGAGUUUGUCCCUAAACAAAGAAAGAAAAAGUCACCGUUAAUUUUUCUCUCUCAUAUUUGCAGAAAGAGAUCAGAGAAAGAGGUGUGGCAUCAUCUUCCAUGAAUAACAACAACCACAGGUUGUUACUUUUGUUUUAAGCCAGCAUAUAACCUUCCCUCAAGAUAAUAAAAUAUUGAUGAUUUAGUUUAGUCACUUUUCAAGUAUAUUGUUUCCAUUCUCAAAAUGUAUCUAAUAUAUAUUCUUCAACCAUGCUUUUACUUAUAUACUAUGUAUUUGACAGAAGGUUUGCCUCUGUCGAAAGAUAUAAUGCAACAAAUUUCUUUGUAUGGUUUGAUAUAUUUUUUAAGAUCAUACGAGAUGUUGAGUUACAUGAGGGUGAUUAAGUUUCAAGCGUGGGAGGAGCAUUUUAAUGAUCGGAUUCAAUCGUCUGAAUAUGGUUGGCUUUGUAAGUUCAUGUAUUCGAUUGGUUCGAACAUGAUCAUUUUGUGGAGUACGCCUUUGUUUAUCCCAACGGUUACGUUCGGGAGUGGGAUUUUGCUUGGGGUAAACCUUGAUGCUGGGACGGUUUUCACAGCCACAUCGUUGUUUAAGAACUUGCAAGAACCGAUUUGGAGUUUUCCCCAAUCGAUGAUCUCGUUGGGACGAUUGGACAAGUAUAUGCUGAGUAACGAGUUGGAAGUGGGUUCAGUUGAAAGACAUGAAAAUAGUGACAAUAAUAUGGCUGUCGAGGUUCAAAAUGGGUCGUUUAGCUGGCAAGAAGGUGAAACGGUCAAGAAUUUAAACUUUGAAGUAAAAAAAGGCGAACUCGCGGCCACUGUGGGGACUGUUGGUUCAGGGAAAUCGUCUCUGCUUGCAUCGGUUAUUGCUUGGUGAGAUGCACAAAACAUCCGGCAAGGUAAAAGUUUUUGGGAGCACUGCGUAUGUUGCGCAAACCGCAUGGAUUCAAAACAAGACAAUUCAAGAACACAUAUUGUUUGGUUCGCCCAUGGAUCGACACAAGUACAAGAAUGUCAUAAGAACUUGUUGUUUGGAGAAGGAUCUAGAAUGAUGGAAUUCGGAGACCAAACUGAAACCGGGGAGCGUGGGAUCAAUCUUAGCAGUGGCCAAAAGCAACGCAUUCAGUUUAUCAAGAUUCGGACAUCUAUCUUCUUAAUGAUGCUGUUGAUGCUCAUACCGGUUCACAAAUAUUCAAGGAAUGUGUUAGGGGAGUCCUUAGAGACAAGACGAUUUUACUUGUUACUCACCAAGUCGAUUUGGCAAUUGUAUCCCUCCUGUAAUCAUAUUAAAGGUUAUAGUCUCCUGUCACAUAGUUACUCUUUUUUUUUUUUUUUUUUUUUUUUGAGCAAGUGUUAAUUGAAGCUGAUUUUUUUUUUUUUUUUUUGAGCAAGUGUUGCUUUUUGAAUUGCUCAAGAAACUGGAUUCUGAAUUGAAGCAUGAGGUCUGUCAUUGGGCUGCAUAUUAUGUAAGUUCAUGAUAAUGUCUCAUCAAAGACUUAUAAGACUGUAAUACCCUCUUUAUGGCGUUCAUAUCGUUAGGUAUGGAUUAGCUUACAUGUAGAAAAUUAGAACAGUGAAACACGAUGUUGAUUAAUUGUGUUGUGGAGUUUUUUUUACUACCACACCUCUGAUUAGUUAUAUUAUUUUUGUUUCUGAGCGAUUAA